rnacentral:rRNA from 1 species
GACGAACGCUGGCGGCGUGCUUAACACAUGCAAGUCGAACGGAAAGGCCCUGCUUGCAGGGUACUCGAGUGGCGAACGGGUGAGUAACACGUGGGUGAUCUGCCCUGCACUUCUUGAUAAGCUUGGGAAACUGGGUCUAAUACCGGAUAGGACCGCACUUUAGUGUGUGUGGUGGAAAGUUUUUUCGGUGUAGUAUGGGCUCGCGGCCUAUCAGCUUGUUGGUGGGGUAAUGGCCUACCAAGGCGGCGACGGGUAGCCGGCCUGAGAGGGUGUACGGCCACAUUGGGACUGAGAUACGGCCCAGACUCCUACGGGAGGCAGCAGUGGGGAAUAUUGCACAAUGGGCGCAAGCCUGAUGCAGCGACGCCGCGUGGGGGAUGAAGGCCUUCGGGUUGUAAACUCCUUUCGCUAGGGACGAAGCUUUUUGUGACGGUACCUAGAUAAGAAGCACCGGCUAACUACGUG